rnacentral:rRNA from 1 species
UACGAAGGGGGCUAGCGUUGUUCGGAAUUACUGGGCGUAAAGCGCGUGUAGGCGGGUCUUUAAGUCAGGGGUGAAAUGCCAAGGCUCAACCUUGGAACUGCCUUGGAUACUGGAGAUCUUGAGUCCGGGAGAGGUGAGUGGAAUUGCGAGUGUAGAGGUGAAAUUCGUAGAUAUUCGCAAGAACACCAGUGGCGAAGGCGGCUCACUGGCCCGGAACUGACGCUGAGACGCGAAAGCGUGGGGAGCAAACAGG